AGCAGAAUAAGAUAAACGGCUUUAUUGAACUGGAACAUAUUACUUCAUUGUUUUCAUAUAAACUUCCAAACUGCAUUUACCUUGGUGAUUUGUGAUUAAUUCUGCUCCCUUGCCAUGGAUGAACUUUUGUGAACUCAAAAAAGGCUGAUUUUCAUUAACUUCGUUAUCUGUUGUGUAGAGUAUGUUCACAUGUUAAAAUCGUGGCUUAUUUUUAUGAGGAGAACUUAUAAAAGUUGAUACUAUGCAUGAUGAGAAUAUCUAUGGCCAUUAACUUGAAAAUAUUGGGUGAAGGCAACAGGCGGUGGGGCCUACAAGGAGAGGCUUGGGAUAAGCAUAGAGAAAGAGGAUGAAAUGAAUUGCCUAGUUCUCAAGGCAAUUCACACAUAUGGAGGGGCCGGAAAGAGUUUGUAGUCGUGAUUUAUAUAUUUGAGUACAUUAAUUUCCACAGAUCGGUCUUUCUGCAUCGACGACUACUGCUUCUAGUUUCGACAAGACUAUUUCGGAAAACAAGGAGAUUGAAGACUACAGACACCUGAAGACAUAUCUCUGUCCCUUUUAAGAAUGAUUUCGUAUAACAUAGGCCAGGCAAGUUAGAGUUUUGCUGAAGGCAGAUGUCGUGGAUGGAGAAGUUUGUGCUGAAGGGAACUGAAAUCACAGCUCCUGUUCCGAUGUUGCCUCCGGGAACUACUGGCCUUGGAGGGUUUGAAGUUCCAUCAUCCAGAGGUGAUAGCUUACGCUAGCAAACUGAACGUGGGCGUUCUCCAUCUUGUACCAAGUUUGGAGGUGUUUCCUUUGUUGGCUGAUCCAAAAACAUAUGAGCUGCCCAACACUAUAGACCUUUCAGAUCCUGGAGAGCUUGAGUGGAUGAUUUUGAUAUUUUCAAAGAGAGAAUGUUGGGUUCUGCAGAAAAUAAGCCUCACUAAUACAAGACAGCAUUGCUUUCCCUAGACAACUCCGGUGCUGAUAUCGUCUUAGGAAUGCUUCCACUCGCCACGGAACUUCUCCGACGAGGGACUGAAACUGAAGUAGUGCUGGUCGCGAUUCCCUUCCCGCCCGGAACAACGUGACUGCAAUGGAGCUACCUGAAAUCGAGGCCGAGGCAGCUAAGGUUCGUCUCCGUCUCCGUCUCCGUCUCCUUUAAUAUACACACACACACACACACCUUUAUUAUCUUCCAGAACGAAGACUGACUCGUAUAUAUGACUGUGUGAGUCGAUUUGAAGCAGCAGAGGCCUCAAACUGAGCUCAUCAUUUUCAUAUUUAUAGAUGCAUUCUUCAGCUUGAGCUCUUGUAAAUGGAUUCUAGACUUUGUUUAAUUUAUAGAUGUGAUUUGAAGGUAUUGAAUAAUUGUUUGUAGAUGAAUGAAUUAUGUAUAUAGCUCGUAUUGGUUUUAUAUGAUUCUUAUUAUACUCCA